UACGAAGGGGGCUAGCGUUGCUCGGAAUCACUGGGCGUAAAGGGUGCGUAGGCGGGUCUUAAGUCAGGGGUGAAAUCCUGGAGCUCAACUCCAGAACUGCCUUUGAUACUGAAGAUCUUGAGUUCGGGAGAGGUGAGUGGAACUGCGAGUGUAGAGGUGAAAUUCGUAGAUAUUCGCAAGAACACCAGUGGCGAAGGCGGCUCACUGGCCCGGUUCUGACGCUGAGGUGCGAAAGCGUGGGGAGCAAACAGG
rnacentral:rRNA from 1 species